AGGGUGAGGGGGUGAGCUGGAGACAAAGGAGCUACAGAUCUGAACAUCCAGUGAGCUUGGAGCCGUGAAGUUGUCAUGCACUGAACUAUAUAUGGAAUUGGCCAGGUGAUCCCUUUGUAGGGUCAAAGGAUGGCGAGCUUCUGACAACUGGCUGGAGCCAGGAGAACCUUAAACUCACUCUAUACUGGUCUGAGCGCAGGCGGUUACCACGGUAACAGGUGUGCUUAAACUACAAAGAGAGAGUAAGAAGGGUGCAGCCCGCCGCUUUCCCACUGACCUCUGGGGAGAGGCACCAGCUCCCCUGUGGCCCUACAAGGACAAGCAGCAGCAACAAAAGAGAGGCAAUGAGAAACCCCCCCCCAAUCCCUCCGCCUCUCUGCCUGUGCCUGCCCCCCCACCCAGCCUUCACUGGCUCUCAAGAGAAAGAAAGCACAAAAAAAAAGAAAAGGAGGGAGAGAAGAAGAUGAUGAAACCUGAAGUGGUCUGCAGUGUGAAAGUGUGCAUCCACCCAGAUGUUUGUGCGUGCAUCUGAAAGUGUGUGUGUGUGCAGUGUAUACUCGGCAAACAUUCAUUGAUCCUCAAAUUUAAUCUGUUUACCAACAAUCUGUGAAAAUCUCAUUUGUGCUGCUCAUGAAUGUGUCUGCGGCUGCAUUUCUGCACGCCAGUGAGUUUUCUACCCAGUAGAGGCUUUUAUUGUCUUAAGAUGUGCGUGAGCAUGUGUGCGUGCAUGCAUUGUGUCAUUUUCUUCCCUAGCCUGUUGCUUUCUGCCGCUGUCUGCUCUCUCAGCUCCACAUCAUGAGGAAUGCACACUGAGAUGGAUUCCUGCAGGAUUCCUUCCUCUUCUCCGGCUUCAUUAUUCCUGCUUCUGCAACGCCUGCUGGAUAAACACAGACAUGCUUUUCUCGUACUUCCUAGACCCUUAACCAGCUCCCACAUUGGUGUUAAAUAAGAUCGCUUGUACAGAACUGUGCAGAAGUCCUAAUUUUAAUUCACUUUGCUUCCAAGUGGCAAGACUGCCAUGUAAUUCUGUCAAACUUUUCAUGCUUAAAAAUAAAUGUAAAACAAAUAGUGUCAGAUGUAAA